rnacentral:rRNA from 1 species
AGUGAACGCUGGCGGUAGGCCUAACACAUGCAAGUCGAACGGCAGCACAGUAAGAGCUUGCUCUUACGGGUGGCGAGUGGCGGACGGGUGAGGAAUAUAUCGGAAUCUACUUUUUCGUGGGGGAUAACGUAGGGAAACUUACGCUAAUACCGCAUACGAACUACGGGUGAAAGCAGGGGAUCUUCGGACCUUGCGCGAUUGAAUGAGCCGAUGUCGGAUUAGCUAGUUGGCGGGGUAAAGGCCCACCAAGGCGACGAUCCGUAGCUGGUCUGAGAGGAUGAUCAGCCACACUGGAACUGAGACACGGUCCAGACUCCUACGGGAGGCAGCAGUGGGGAAUAUUGGACAAUGGGCGCAAGCCUGAUCCAGCCAUACCGCGUGGGUGAAGAAGGCCUUCGGGUUGUAAAGCCCUUUUGUUGGGAAAGAAAAGCAGCAGGUUAAUACCCCGCUGUUCUGACGGUACCCAAAGAAUAAGCACCGGCUAACUUCGUG